CAAAAACAUAUGUUGUGCGAGCUGUGCUGCCUAGCAUUAUUCCACCAUCUUAUCGUGGUGCUACAAUUCGGUAUCUUUACUACGUUAAGGGUGCAUUAUCUGGACGAUGGCUGAUAUUGGAAAAUGGCCACUCUCACACAGAGUCAUCAAAAGAUCUCAUUGAACUGGAAACUCGUGUUCCAUUGCAAAUAUGGGCGACUCAGAAGAGCAACGGCCUGCUAAUGGAAGAAGGUCGGAGUGAUGGAACUGUUCCUGCCACAACCCUCCAACUGGAUGUAUACUGGAAAGCAAUGGAUGGAGAUUCUGAAUGGGCUAGAGCAAACUAUAUAGACAACGGAGUUGAGGAAGGUUAUGACAGUUCCAGAGAUGAAAUCUCAUCUGUUUCUUCCUACAAUCCUACUAAAGAAAGCAUACACAAGACCUUUGGAAGUUCCUUGUCCUUGCAAUCAUUUGGAGCUAGGUCUUCAAAUGUGGAUGCUUCACAUAUUGAAGGAGGACGUACAAGUUUAUCAAUUCUAGCCCCUCCUCGGCUAUCUGUGGCUGAGGUUUU
rnacentral:misc_RNA from 1 species